UUGGAAUUAGCUCAGCGGAUAGAGCAACAGCCUUGGGAGCUGUCGGCGCCGGUUCGAUUCCGGCAUUCCAAC
rnacentral:tRNA from 1 species